rnacentral:rRNA from 1 species
GGGGAAUUUUGGACAAUGGGCGCAAGCCUGAUCCAGCCAUGCCGCGUGAGUGAAGAAGGCCUUCGGGUUGUAAAGCUCUUUCGGCCGGAACGAAAUCGACUAGGCCAAUACCCUGGUCGGAUGACGGUACCGGAAGAAGAAGCACCGGCUAACUACGUGCCAGCAGCCGCGGUAAUACGUAGGGUGCAGGCGUUAAUCGGAAUUACUGGGCGUAAAGCGUGCGCAGGCGGCUUCCUAAGUCAGAUGUGAAAUCCCCGGGCUCAACCUGGGAACUGCGUUUGAAACUGGGAGGCUAGAGUGCGGCAGAGGGAGGUGGAAUUCCACGUGUAGCAGUGAAAUGCGUAGAUAUGUGGAGGAACACCGAUGGCGAAGGCAGCCUCCUGGGCCAGCACUGACGCUCAUGCACGAAAGCGUGGGGAGCAAAC